GGCAGCAGCCAUAUCGCCCUGCACCUCCCAACUGGCAGCUCACUUAAGCUCAGCAGGUGUGAGCCUGGUCAGUACCUGGAUGGGAGACCUCCUGGGAAAAACGAAGGUUGCUGCUGGAC
rnacentral:rRNA from 1 species